rnacentral:rRNA from 1 species
UCGGGAAUUUUGGGCAAUGGGGGCAACCCUGAUCCAGCAAUGCCGCGUGAGUGAAGAAGGCCUUCGGGUUGUAAAGCUCUUUUGUCAGGGAAGAAACGGUAGUAGCGAAUAACUAUUACUAAUGACGGUACCUGAAGAAUAAGCACCGGCUAACUACGUGCCAGCAGCCGCGGUAAUACGUAGGGUGCAAGCGUUAAUCGGAAUUACUGGGCGUAAAGCGUGCGCAGGCGGUUGUGUAAGUCAGAUGUGAAAUCCCCGGGCUCAACCUGGGAAUUGCAUUUGAGACUGCACGGCUAGAGUGUGUCAGAGGGGGGUAGAAUUCCACGUGUAGCAGUGAAAUGCGUAGAUAUGUGGAGGAAUACCGAUGGCGAAGGCAGCCCCCUGGGAUAACACUGACGCUCAUGCACGAAAGCGUGGGGAGCAAACAGGAUUAGAUACCCAAGUAGUCCCUGAGCGGGCUGGCAAGGCGCAU